rnacentral:rRNA from 1 species
GAUGAACGCUGGCGGCGUGCUUAACACAUGCAAGUCGAACGAGAAUCAACGGAUUGAGGAUUCGUCCAAAUGAAGUUGAGGAAAGUGGCGGACGGGUGAGUAACGCGUGAGGAACCUGCCUCGGAGUGGGGAAUAACAGUUGGAAACAGCUGCUAAUACCGCAUAAUGCAACGGAAUCGCAUGACUCUGUUGCCAAAGAUUUAUCGCUCUGAGAUGGCCUCGCGUCUGAUUAGCUAGUUGGUGGGGUAACGGCCUACCAAGCCGACGAUCAGUAGCCGACCUGAGAGGGUGACCGGCCACAUUGGGACUGAGACACGGCCCAG